AUCUGUAAGAAGCAACUUUGCCCUCCUCGCCAACGUCUCAUCACCCACGGUCAAGAGGUCUCCACUGGGAAUGCAGCAAACCACUCCCAGGACAGUGCUCUCCGAGGAGACCUACCAGCAGCUGGCUCGCGAGACCUUGGAGGAGCUGGACUGGUGCUUGGACCAGCUGGAGACCAUCGAAA